rnacentral:rRNA from 1 species
GACGAACGCUGGCGGCGUGCUUAACACAUGCAAGUCGAACGGUGAUCUUGGGAGCUUGCUCCUGGGUGAUCAGUGGCGAACGGGUGAGUAACACGUGAGUAACCUGCCCCUGACUCUGGAAUAACUUCGGGAAACCGAAGCUAAUACCGGAUAUGACACAGAGCCGCAUGGUUUCUGUGUGGAAAGUUUUUCGGUUGGGGAUGGACUCGCGGCCUAUCAGCUUGUUGGUGAGGUAAUGGCUCACCAAGGCGACGACGGGUAGCCGGCCUGAGAGGGCGACCGGCCACACUGGGACUGAGACACGGCCCAGACUCCUACGGGAGGCAGCAGUGGGGAAUAUUGCACAAUGGGCGAAAGCCUGAUGCAGCGACGCCGCGUGAGGGAUGAAGGCCUUCGGGUUGUAAACCUCUUUCAGUAGGGAAGAAGCGCAAGUGACGGUACCUACAGAAGAAGCACCGGCUAACUACGUGCCAGCCGCCGCCGUAACAC